GUGCCAGCAGCCGCGGUAAUACCGGCAGCCCGAGUGGUGGCCGAUAUUAUUGGGCCUAAAGCGUCCGUAGCUGGCCGAACAAGUCCAUCGGGAAAUCCACUCGCUCAACGAGUGGCCGUCCGGUGGAAACUCCAUACCUUGGGACCGGAAGGCUCGAAGGGUACGGCCGGGGUAGGAGUGAAAUCCUGUAAUCCCGUCCGGACCACCGAUGGCGAAAGCACUUCGAGAAAACGGAUCCGACAGUGAGGGACGAAAGCUAAGAUCGCGAACCGGAUUAGAUACCCGAGUAGUCC
rnacentral:rRNA from 1 species